AUGCGGACAGGGCCCCCCCAAACAGCACAGGGAGGGGAUGGGAGGACCAAGGGCACCUCUGACUGCUGGGCUCUGGAUCCCGGCUCUGUCCCUGUCCCGCUGCGUGAGCUUGGGCACCCCGUUCCGCUCUCUGCUCACGGAAACCACAGCGUGAGCCACGAGUGUUCUGAGCACCCACCCACCGAGUUCAUUCUGGUCCACUUAGAAGAGGGCCCUGUGGGGAGCAACUGCCUCGGACUCGGACUCGGGGUGCUUUCUAUCUCUGCGGCACUGAUUGGAGGCCCGAAGGGAGCCGAUACGGCGCUGGGGAGAUGAGCAAGACCUGAUUCCUGUCCCUAAGGAGAGGCUUCCGGGUGGACUGGACGUGAGUCAUCACCUGAAGUUUGAGAUGUUGGUAAGACUGGACGGGCUGGGAGGAGGUGACAAGAGCAAAGGCCAGGAGGCGAGAAGGCCAGGCAGGCUGGGAACUGCUGGGGAGGGGCGGGGGCUGGGAGCAGCAGGUUGAAGGGCUUCUGCUCCGAAGUCACACUCACCCGGCGCGCACCCCACCUGCAGCCCUCCUAAGCUGAGGGUCCUGGAGCUGGGGACUUAAUCUCUCAAACUCCUUCUUUUCAUGGAAAAAUCACACUAGUGAAAAGGCUGCAAGAAAGGGUGACCUAGACAGCGGUUGGUGCACGCACAGGAAGCACGGAAAGCGCUUCUCUGCACCCCUCCCCUGCCAGGGUGACCUGGCAAUCUGCUAGGAGCCACUCCCCGGACACCCCUGCCCUCCAGGGUCCCUCCUCUGCUCACCCUCCCCAAAUGAAAUACUCCCCCCGGCCCCCCCCCCCAAGCCCUUCCUGCUGCCCAGGCCUUUGCCUUUCCUCUCCCUGGAACACCCCUCCUGCCCUGGGUCACCCGGCCUCUGUCCCCCUCUCCACGGGGCUUCCCUGGCCACCGACCAAGAUGCUUCACACACACCCCACUGGCACAUUUCAUACCCCCCUCUUUUUUUCUUCUUAGCAUUUAACACCGGCACACAUGCUAUAUACCUCCAUUACCGUGCCCUUUGCUAGAAUAUGGGCUCCGCCAGGGCAGGGGUUCGUGUGUUUUGCUCACCGAGGUAGUUCCAGCACACAGUAGGUGCUCAAUAAAGAGGCGUUGGUCAUGGGGCCCCUGGGGGACUCAGCGGUUGAGCGUCUGCCUUGGGCCCAGGGCGUGAUCCCCUGGUCCCGGGAUCCAGUCCCACGUCAGGCUCCCCACAGGGAGCCUGCUUCUCCCUCUGCCUGCGUCUCUGCCUCUGUGUGUGUAUCUCAUGAGUAAAUAAACAAAAUGUUAAAAAAAAAAAAAAAAAAGAGGCACUGGUCGCACGCCUGAAGGAGUCCCCUAACCAAAGAAGGGGCCGGUGGGGUGGCCGCCAGUGAGCUGACCGGCAUCAAGCUUUAUCAUUCGCGGGGGAGUUCCUACCCCUCGGGGGCUGAGCCGACCGCUGGCUGGAGGAUGCAGUUCCGGGGAGACCGCAAACCACCCUCACCCCAGACCCCGGGACAGGCCGGGGCCCAGAGCCACGGGACGCGGGGGAGUGUUGGACUGACCACCGUAGGCGGUGUAGCCGAGUCCAAAUAGCGCACGCCAGGCAGCUUAGCACGGCAGGGAUCUAUCUCUCCGGGUUCUGGAGGGCAGAGGUCCAAGGUCAAGGUCGUGGCAGGGCUGGUUCCCUGGGGACGUGUCCGGGGCCCUGGCGGGGCUGGCGCUCCUUGGCUCACGGGCGCCCGGCUCCCAUCUCUGCGUCUCCCUGGGGGUCUGUGUCUUCACAAGGACGUAGUCCGCCUCAAUCCCAGUGGCCUCAUCAGAACUUAACUAGUUAUAUCUGCAAAGACCCCACAGGGUCCCCCUCACAGGUUCCAAGGGACGGGACUUUUGGGAAGGGGGACCCUGGUCAGGCCAACAGACAGUGAAGAUUCGGAGCUCCCAGGCAGGAGGAGGGCCACACGUGCAGACAGGCCGGCCAGCAGGAGCGGAGGUCGGAGGUGCCAGAGGGGUGCUCCAGGGGCCAGGGUGGGGCUCCCCCUGAACCUCCCUGCCCCGCAGCACCUAACUCCUCGGCUCUGGCUCCCAAACAGGCUCUCAGACCCACCCGUUCUCUCCAGCCUCGGGGUCACCGCCAGCCAGCCUGCCUCUCACACUAGUGGGACCAGGGCAAGAAUUCGGGGCACAGGGGUCGCAGAACCCACGUUCGGAAACCCUCCAGUGAGAACCAGCUGCUGCCGCCCAGUGCACUCUGGGCUCCCGUCCAGCCCCCCACUCCGGCCGCAGACACAGGGAGCAUCGGGCCGGGGCGGCCUCACAGCCCAGGAUGGAUCCUAACCCACGCGGGGAGGACGUGCGCGGCGGGGAGCCCUCGGAGGCUGGCGGCUGCUCCUCAGGUGCGCCCGGUGCCUCUCUCCUGGGAGCUCCACCCGAGGGAGCCCGACGCCCUGUCCCCACAAAACGCGCGCCCCAAUAUUAACAGCAGCAGUGUUUCUAAUUUCCAAAAUGUGGAAUCAACCCAAAUGUCCAUGGACUGAUGGCGGCUGAGACGGCCGAAGCUCUCCACCUGCUGGAAUUCCGUCACCUGCAGCAGGGGCGAGGCCCCCCGAACUCUGGCGGACCCCCAGCCACGGCGCUCGGGGAGGGAGCCACACACAGGAGGCCCCACGGGGUGGCAGGAUGGCUCGUCCACGGAGGGGGGCUGGGCGCUGGGGACGGGAAGGGAUGGGGCUUCUUUUUGGGGAGAUGGAAUGUUCUAAUGUGGAUGGUGGUGGAUGCCGAGUGCUGUGAAUAUUUUUUUUAAUAAUAUAUUUUUUUAAAUUUUUAUUUAUUUAUGAUAGUUACAGAGAGAGAGAGAGGCAGAGACACAGGCAGAGGGAGAAGCAGGCUCCAUGCACCGGGAGCCCGAUGUGGGAUUCGAUCCCGGGUCUCCAGGAUCGCGCCCUGGGCCAAAGGCAGGCGCUAAACCGCUGCGCCACCCAGGGAUCCCUGAAUAUUUUUUUAAAAAUCACUGAACUGUGCACUUUUGGGCGAGAAUUGUAUGCUAUGUGACUUUGUGACUUGUAUCUCAAUAAAGUUGUUGGGGAAUCCCAGCUGCAGUCCUGGGACACCCUCCCCUUGGUGGAUCUGAUUGCCGCCUCCCUCUCCACAUCUGGGCUGCGUCCGGGACUCGCCACUCGUGGGGACCCCCUGCCCACCGCAGGACCAGAUCCCACGUAAGACGUCCCGCUGCGCUGCAGCCGUGGGGACGUGGGACCCCACGGACCAGGAGAGGGGGUGGCUCAGGCCCCAGCCUGGCCUGCCCGUGAGCUGGACACCACCCAGGGACCCCAUCGACCCGCCUGGGACAGAGGACCUCCCCUCUGAGCCCCACUCCCGACUCCCGGAACUGUGAGACGUAAGCCAGUCUGUAGCUGUUACCCCGAGACAGACCCGGACCCACGCCUCGGAAGCUCCCGGGAAGCCUGCAG
rnacentral:lncRNA from 1 species